AAACUAUAUUGGGUAGGAACUCCACGCUCACAACCCAAAAGGCUUGAUUAGCUUGUACUUCUAAUGUCUCCUAUCUUUGAUGUAGUAAGUAUGGACCCAUACAGUCCGUAACUUAUCCUAUCUCUUAGCCAAAUCCCACAGAUAGUUGAGUAUUACUUCUUUGUUCCACACAUACACAUCUGUAAUAUCCAGGCCUCCAACAACUUUUGGUUAACAAAUUGUAUCCCAUGCUACAAGAGCUUUCCCUUUAGUUUGUGUAUCACCAUUCCAUAGGAAUCUCUUGCAUAUCGCUUCUACCUACUGCAACACUUUUUGGGGAGUAAGAAUAUUUGCGCCCAGAAUGCUUGAAUGGAAGUUAGCAAAGUUUGUGCCAGAUAAAGCCUCUCUGCAUAAGAUAGAAAUUUCGUAGUCCAUGUGUUUUUUCUUCCUAGCGUCCUGUCUAGAAGUGGUUGACAUUGGCUUAUUGACAAUUUUUGGAGCUUAGAGGGACUCCAAGAUAUCUAAAUGGAACUCUAAACAUGUGAAAUAAUGUCACAAUUUGUGGUGAAAGUUGUGAGAUUCCCUUCUGCAGUCACGAGAAUAGACAAGAAUUCAAUUACUGAAGCAUCGGAGCUCGAUGUGUUAGUUCUAUACUUAUUUGUAGUAAGAAUUAUAAUAAGACUUUUUUGUCUCUCUUCAUAUAGCUGAAUUCUUAUUUUAUUAGCAAAUUGCUCUAAAUUCAUAUUUGUAUUUUGUAUGCUCAAAUGUUCAGUUUCACUAUGGAGACAAAAAUAAAAUGAAAUGCCUAAUUAUCUUGCUCAUU